GACGAACGCUGGCGGCGUGCUUAACACAUGCAAGUCGAACGGAAAGGCCCUGUCUUUUUGGGUUGCUGGAGUGGCGAAGGGGAGAGUAACACGAGAGUAACGUAACCUUCACUUUGGGACAGCUUAACGGAAUGGAAGCUAAUCUAGGACAGGAGAUCCUGCUGCAUGGGGGGGGUGGGAAAGUUGCGGCGGUUGGAGCUGGACGCGCGGCUUUCGAGCUUGCUGGGGGGGUAGGGGCUUACCAAGCCUUUCACGGGUAGCCGGCCUGAGAGGGUGGCCGGCCACAUUGGGACUGAGAUACGGCGCAGACGCGUACAGGAGGCAGCAGUGGGGAGUAUUGUGCAGUGGGCGGGCGCCGGAUGCGGCGGCGCCGCGUGCGGGAUGACGGCCUUCGGGUAGUGAACCGCUUUCGCCUGGGACGAGGCGGGGGUGACGGUAAUGGGAAAAGAAGCACCGGCUAACUACGUG
rnacentral:rRNA from 1 species